AGUGAACGCUGGCGGUAGGCCUAACACAUGCAAGUCGAACGGCAGCACAGUAAGUGCUUGCUCUUACGGGUUGCGAGUGGCGGACGGGUGAGGAAUACAUCGUAAUCUACUUUUUCGGGGGGGAUAACGUAGGUGAACUUACGAUAAUACCGCACACUACCUACGGGUGAGUGCAGUGGAUCUUCGGACCUUGCGCGAUUGAAUGACGCGAUGUCGGAUUAGCUAGUUGGUGGGGUAAUGGCCCACCAAGGCGUCGAACCGUAGCUGGACUGAGAGGAUGAUCAGCGACACUGGAACGGAGACACGGUCCAGACACCUACGGAAGGCAGCAGUGGGCAAUCUUGGACAAUGGGCGCAAGCCUGAUCCAGCCAUACCGAGUGCGUAAAGAAGGCCUUCGGGUUGGAAAGCCCUUUUGUUGGGAAAGAAAAGCAGUUGAUUAAGACCCCGCUGUUAUGACGGUAACCAAAAAAAAAGGACCGGCUAACUUCGUG
rnacentral:rRNA from 1 species